rnacentral:rRNA from 1 species
UACGGGGGGGCAAGCGUUGUUCGGAAUUACUGGGCGUAAAGGGCGCGUAGGCGGCCUGCUAAGUCACACGUGAAAUCCCUCGGCUCAACCGGGGAACUGCGUGUGAUACUGGCGGGCUUGAAUUCGGGAGAGGGAUGUGGAAUUCCAGGUGUAGCGGUGAAAUGCGUAGAUAUCUGGAGGAACACCGGUGGCGAAGGCGGCGACCUGGGUAGAUACUGACGCUGAGGUGCGAAAGCGUGGGGAGCAAACAGG